UAAAUAAAUAGAAUUUUUUUAAUCAAGUUUGGUUUGGUUUGGUUCGGUUUCUAGUACUCAAAACCGAACUUGAACCGAACCAAUCGGUUUUUAUAUUGUAAAAACCGAAGCAGACCUGAUUGUUGUUCGGUUUUGAUCGGUUUUUGUCGGUUUGGAUUGGUUUGGAUCGGUCCUUUCGGUUUGGAUCGGUUUUGAACACCCUUAAUUUUACAUGCACAUUAAGGAGCUAAAUGCAUUUGGAAGCUGUUAUUCAUUGGCCAUAAAUGGUUGAAAACUGUUAACCUUCUGAGCUAUUUUAAUUUUAUUUAUUUUGUUUUCGCUUCUUCCUUUUGUCAUUCUAUUGAUUGAUUUAUUUAUUUUAGUAAGUUAUGAAGGAAAACAAAAUUUGAUAUUCUAUCGAAGGAUAUGCAAUAGUGAGGUCAAGGAAGCUCUUAAUAAAACAGUAAAUGGUAGAGCCAACAGAUCUGAUUAUAUCCCUAACAAAGUGUGGAAAUGUUUAGGUGAAGAGGGUGCGGUAGCUAACUAAGUUAUUUAAUAAGAUCUUACGGUCCAAGAAAAUGCCUAAUGAAUGGAAGAGAAACACCUUAGUUCCUAUUUACAGAAAUAAAGGGGAUAUUUAAAAUUGUGCAAACUAUAAAGGGAUUGAGCUUAUAAGUCAUACUAUAAAAUUGUGGAAAAAAGUGAUUGUGCAUAGGUUGAGAUUGGAAACUAAUAUUUCUAAUAAUCAAUUUGGUUUCAUGCUGGGUAGGGUGAUUGCAAAAGCAAUUUAUCAACUCAAGGGAUUAGUGGAAAAAUAUUGAAUCAAAGGUAAAGAUUCACACAUGAUUUUCAUUUAUUUGGAAAAGUUUGGAAGGCUUUGGAAAAGGAAUUCAGGUUUCCUAUAUUAGAGUUAUAUAAGAAUGUAUGGGGGGCAACAACCACUGUAAGAAUGUCUUGCAGUGAAACCAAGAGCUUUUCUAUAAGGAUUGGACUAUAUCAGGGAUCAUCUUUGAGCCUUUAUUUGUUUGACCUAAUUCUAGAUGUUUUGACUGAGUAUAUUCAAAAGGAAAUCCUCAAAUGCAUGCUUGUUGCAGAUGAUGUAGUUCUUAUUUCGAGCAAGAGAGAAGAUAUUAAUAGCAAAUUUGAGAGAGGACCUUGGAAUUGAAAGGUUUCCAUUGAGUAGUUUUAAGACGAAAUAUUUGCACUAUAAUUUUGAUAAAAGGUCAGUUUGUAUGAACUUGGAAGUGAGAUAGAGCGAUCAAAUCAUCUCUCAAGUAGAAAAGUUUAAAUAUUUAGGAGCUAUUAUUCAACAUGAUGUAGAAAUUGAUGGGGAUGUUGCACAUAAGAUGUAAGCUGGGCAGUUUAUGGGAGAAAGGUUGAAGGAGUUGUUUGUGAUCGAAAAGCAUCUAAUGAACUUAAAUGGAAGCUUUAUCGAAUUACUAUAAGACCAACUAUGUUAUAUGGUAGUAAAUAUUGUGCUUUAAAGGGACAACAUGAGUAUAAAGUUAGAGUAGCAUAUAUGAAAAUAUUGAUAUGAAUGAAUGUGCAUAUAUAAAAAGAUAAAAUCCAAAAUGAACGUGUACGAGAAAAGGUGGGCGUUACAUCUAUUGAGAGAGAAAUGGUAGAAAAUCAUUUUAGACGGUUUUGACAUGUACAAAAAAGGUUGUGGGAGGCAUUGAUGAGGAGAGUGGCAUGCAUAAUCUUGAGCUCUAUAAAGAGGGGUAAAGGAAGAUCAAAGAAAACAUUUAUGGAAGUUAUUGAAGAGAUCUCUUAACAAUAUUUUUAAAAACUUGGUUAAUGAUAGAGUAGAAUAGCAUUGUACAAUCCAUAUAGAUGAUCUCACCUAAUGAGAUAAAACUUCUUCUUGUUGUUUUUAAGUUUUCCUGUUCAUUAAUUUUUUUGUACUUCAAUGAGUUGUGCUUGCAUUAUGUUCAAGCAUUAUUCAGCUAGUAUGACUGAAUUCAUGCUGUAGCCUAAAUCAAUUUGAGCACCUUGAGGCAUGUGGAGGUGAUGAUUGGUUUUAUAAUGACAUAGAACUUUGAAAUAAAAGUAAUUAUGUCAAUUGGAUGAAAACGUGAUAUAAGUGUGAGGUAAUUAGGUUCUUCAUCAUUUUAAAUAUUAACUUGUUUGAGUUAUGGUGUGAGCGCAAGGGGGCUCUUUUUGUUAUUCUUCAUUGGUUAACAUAUUGCUGAAUACCCCUCUUUUGGUCUUUUUAAACAAAAAAUUUUGCCAUCAGAUUUUUCUUCAGUUGGACAACGAUUUCUGUGGGAAAAUAGAAUGACUUCUGGAAAUCUCUCUCAAUUGGCUCAAGCUUACACACUGGAUUGAGUAUCAUCAGUUUCUCUCAGGUUCAUCUGUGGGUUCCGUUGACCAAAAUUUCUUCUUCUUUCCUUGUGUUUGCGAUAGAACUUAUUGAUGGUGCUUUGGGGCUCUGCAACAGGGGAACAAGGUGUUAGCCGAAAUUUUGAGGAACUCGAAUAUCUUUUGCAUAAGAGAAAUGAGAGCAGUUAUUGAAGAACUGAAGAUUUGUUGGGCUAAAGCCUAAAGGUUUCAGGAAGGUCCAUGCUUUCUCCAAUUCUGCUGAAGCGAUAUGUAAUAUAUCCAACCUUUAUAUCAAGAGUCACUCAGCUUUCAAAAUCGUUGAAGAGAUGAGAGGUUUAAUCAUGCUACUCCAUUUUUAUUUGGAGUACGUGAUUGGGAGAUAAUCUAUACCAAGAAAUUCAGAUGAGUGAGCAUAUUGGUUGGCAAAAGAAGCUCGUAAUAUGACUGUUGAGGAUGCCAUCAUCAGAGAACCUUCUCAACAAUGCAUGGGACUGACUGACUCAUGAGGAUUGAUUUGACCAAGAAUAUGGUAACCUUUGGGAGUGACUGUUUUUUCUCUUAAUUUUUUAAGACUCUGUUUUCCUUUUUAUUAAAAAAAAAAAAAGAAUUGCCCCCUAAAUUUUCAAUUUUCUUUCAGGUUAUUUGUUAAUAAUUUUAUCAUUCAAACUUUGUUCCUUUUAUUAUUUUACAUUA